CCAGUGUGGUCAGAGGCCCAAAUCACUAACUGGAUAACAGCUUGAUCAUCUAAGACAAUUAUGUGCCCAAUGAAGGCUAGGUAACCCCCCUAGGGCAAAUCAAGAUUACAGAGAGACUGGUUGUUGUGAGUUUUCCAGGCUGUGUGGUAGUGGUCUGGUAGAUCUUGUUCCUAACUUUUUGCCUGCAUCUGUGGCUGGCAUCUUCAGAGAGAAUUUGCGCUGCGGUCGUAACCACCCUCCUUUCCUGACACGUUAAUCAAUAUUGGCUUGCGUCUGAACAGAAGUCCUUUCCGCAUAGAAAUUCACAUAUAAGGACACAAGACUCACUGGAAAGGACAAUAAAGCUUUUAAAAGUUGAAGGCAGCAGUGAAAGAGGAAGACCCAACAUGCUAUGGAUUGAUUUUGCAAAAGAAACCACAGCACUCCAUUCAGAAGAACUAAGCAACGAAAUAGGAUAUUUUGGAGGCUAUGGCUUCGUACGGUCAUCAUGAGUCAGAAGCAAUUUCAAAGAUUUUGAAUGCAAGGAAUUGAACACAACACAAUGAAAGCGAUGAUGCCAUACUUGGAAGCUGGCACCCCUAAUAAGCCUAAUAACAUCAUCCCUUCAGUGCACAAAGAAAGAGACUAGCUCUGCUUCUCCUGUUUCCCAGAAAGGAAGGAAAUAUUCCGGCACUGCAGAAUGUACUGAUCUCAAUCAAACCUUACAGCACCAAGGCUCAAAUAUCACUAUAAAUCAGAGCAAGCAAGGACAAAUAUUUGCAAGAUAAUACUCAUAGGUAGCAAUAAAUAAAUAAAUAAAAACCUUUUAA